UCCGAGUUGACCCCGGCAGUCUCCUAUGAGUCCCCGCCAUCACGCGCUGGCAACAUAGAACGAGGGUUGCGCUCGUUGCGGGACUUAACCCAACAUCUCACGACACGAGCUGACGACAACCAUGCACCACCUGUACAGGACCCUUACGGACCCCCCAUCUCUGGAGGAUUUCCCUGUAUGUCAAGCCUUGGUAAGGUGGGGAUGACGUACCUUACAGCGUAC
rnacentral:misc_RNA from 1 species